CCAAGGAGUCUAACAUGUGCGCGAGUCGUCGGGUCUUGAAUAGGCCCGCAGGCGCAAUGAAAGUGAAGGACAACCAAGUUGUUGUCUGCGUUGGGAUCCCCAGUACGAUGCGGCUGGGGCGCACCAACGGCCCGUCCCGUCCGCAGCGUCGGUGGGACGGAGCGAGAGCGUACACGUUGGGACCCGAAAGAUGGUGAACUAUGCCUGGGCAGGACGAGGCCAGAGGAAACUCUGGUGGAGGUCCGCAGCGAUUCUGACGUGCAAAUCGAUCGUCAGACCUGGGUAUAGGGGCGAAAGACUAAUCGAACCGUCUAGUAGCUGGUUCCCUCCGAAGUUUCCCUCAGGAUAGCUGGCGCUCGAGGGAGUCAGUCUCAUCCGGUAAAGCGAAUGAUUAGAGGCCUUGGGGCCGAAACGACCUCAACCUAUUCUCAAACUUUCAAUGGGUGAGAAGUCUGGUUUACAUGACUGAAGCCCGGACAAUUCUCAGGAUGCGAGUGCCCAGUGGGCCACUUUU
rnacentral:rRNA from 1 species